rnacentral:rRNA from 1 species
CCUACGGGUGGCAGCAGUGAGGAAUAUUGGUCAAUGGGCGAGAGCCUGAACCAGCCAAGUCGCGUGAGGGAGUACUGCCCUAUGGGUUGUAAACCUCUUUUGUCGGGGAGCAAAAGCCGGACGUGUCCGGCUGUGAGAGUACCCGAAGAAAAAGCAUCGGCUAACUCCGUGCCAGCAGCCGCGGUAAUACGGAGGAUGCGAGCGUUAUCCGGAUUUAUUGGGUUUAAAGGGUGCGCAGGCGGAUUUUUAAGUCAGCGGUAAAAUCGUGGGGCUCAACCCCAUCCAGCCGUUGAAACUGGGGAUCUAGAGUGUGCGAGAGGUAUGCGGAAUGCGUGGUGUAGCGGUGAAAUGCAUAGAUAGCACGCAGAACCCCGAUUGCGAAGGCAGCAUACCGGUGCACAACUGACGCUCAGGCACGAAAGCGUGGGUAUCGAACAGGAUUAGAUACCCGGGUAGUC